GGUCUUAAGCUCUAGGUGGUGCACAGGGGAAGGGCGAGGCGGGAGGUCUUGCGAUGGGAGAGGGCCACGGAGACACUUUCGAGGGGGUGAGCACAGACCGCCUGAAGCUGGAGCUGCUGGAGGAGAUCCACAUGAAGGAUGUCGUGCAGCUCUCCACACUUGAGAUACGGCAUAAGAUAGCAGAGCUGGAGGCCAACCUCAGCAGUGACCUUGCAGGCAGUGAGUGGAAAACCCGGUAUGAGACCCAGCUGGAGCUGAAUGAUCAAUUGGAAAAACAAAUCGUGUCUCUGAAAGAGAAAAUGGAAAAGGUCCGUGGGAACCCUUCAGAUAGACUGUCUUCCAUUCGUGUCUAUGAGAGGAUGCCGUUGGAAUCUUUAAACGUAUUACUUAAACAACUAGAAAAAGAAAAAAGGAGUCUUGAAAAUCAAGUGAAAGACUAUGCACUUAAACUGGAGCAGGAGUCAAAGGCUUACCAUAGGACCAACAAUGAACGUCGUUCCUACAUCGCGGAAAUGACUCAGGUUUCUGGCUUAAAUCAAGUAUCUAAGAGGCAACAGAUGGACCCACUGCCUAGAAUGAAGGAGAGUCCGGUGAAAACCAAAUUCUCCAAGAGGAGUGUUCAUGCUGGACCAUGUCCAGAGAAGGCCAAAGAAGAAAAGCUUUCCAGUCAGUAAUUGAUGGCUCCUGUAGUGUGUGUUGGCUCCUGGUUUUACCAUAGCUAUGGGCUGUUGAUUUUCUUGGAGUGGAAGACACAAUUCCAUGAAUCAGAAGACAACAAAUGCCAAGAAAGGACCAGUUAAAAAGGUUUCAAGAUCAAAUCAUCUUCCAAAACUCAACCCGUGAUUCCAGAGCUGGGCAGACUUCUAUUUUUUUCCCAUCUUUUUCUUCAUUCAGCGUCUUCAGUUUAGGAAGCUAAUGUUCAAUACAUUCCUCAGGGGAGGAAAUAGAUGAGGAAGAGUGCUUUCUCUCGAUCUUUCAAAAGUUGAUUCCUCUGCCUGCAUAAAAGUCAUGUGUCUCCAGUGACCCUAAAUAUCCAGUACAUGUGCUUGUAGUUCUUAGAAUACCUUAGAAGGGAGCCUGAAGGUUGACAUCAUUCUGACACUCUCUGUAGAGUGUUUCUGAUAUGCUCUGGCUGCACUGUUAUGUCGCAUUUGGUUUCUAAAUUGACCAUUAGCUAAAAUUAUAUAUUUUAUAUAUCAUAUAAUAAUAAUAUAUAUCUCUACCUUUUUGCUAUUUUAGAUUGCAUCAUGCUCAGUUCAGCUUUUUACAGUUAAGGUUUCAACAUAAUCCCAGAAGACGUGCAUAUGAAAGCUUCAGGGAAAUAUUGUUAGCAACUUCAGCCAUGCACUGAGUUGUUCUUGGGGCUCCCUCUGAUGGUAACCUUGAGGACUUAGGGGAAAUCCUGUCACUUCAUGUUUAUUUCCUACAUCUAUAAAAUGACUAUGGUAAAUUGUAUAGUUUAUAAGAUUUCUUGCAGUUCUAGAAAACCUAUUCAGUCCCAGUGGCCUGCCAUUGUGUAUGUGGCAUUAAAAUCAUUUUGUGAUAUUUACUAACUCGCAACAAUGGUCUAGUCUUUGGCCCAAACUUUGCAAGAGUUUGGAAUACUGGAGACUAGAAUGAAAUAGAGGGAGAAUAAGAAAUUAUUUUUAGGACCCAUGAACUUUAUUCAAUUUUAUUCAUGUUUAUGGUGUUUUGUAACUUGAAUGUUUUUUGUCAUUAUAAAUCUAGGUCAGAAAGAUCCAUAUAAUUUACUUGUCUAUUUAAAUAAGAGAAAUUAUUGGAAUUUACAUUUCUUGUGCAUGUUUAAGCAAGUGAUGUUUUGACCUGUACCUGAUGAGAAAUGUCAUUCGUUUCCUUUUAUAUGUAAUGUGUCUUUUACACCUGAGGGGUUUAUGUGUGUAUGUAUGUAUGUAUGUAUGUAUGUAUGUAUGUAUAAUGCAUAAUAUAUACCUGUAUGUAUAGAUAAUAGAACCAUAAUGCUGCACUCGUGAACUUGCAGUAGCUAUGGUUGUCUGCACAAAACCUGCAUGAGAUCAAGCUAGCCAACAUUCCAGCUCCAGUGUCAGAAGGAUACAUGGGCCUCACCCUUGCUGAGGAUCUGGUGACAGUAAAGGCUGGUAGAGAGAGAGAGCCCUUCUUUUUACGGGUGUGGUCCCUGGUAGGUUCAGAAUGAUCCAGUAGAUGGCCCCACAUCCAUGUAUUUAUAGACAACACUAACUGGCUUCAAUGGAAUAUAUUUGUGUAUAUGUAUAUAUGUGUAUAUAUAUAUAUGUGUGUGUAUACACACAUAUUUAAAGAUAUGCUGUUGGGAGGGAAUUAUAAGGAGAUCUGGAAAUUGGGAGGAAGUGAGUGUGUGUAUGGAAUAAACACACUGUAUACAUGCAUGAAAUUAUUAAAGAAUAAAAUGUAUUAAUAAAAUGGAACAUUGGCAUGA